rnacentral:rRNA from 1 species
UUGGGCGUAAGCGCGCGCAGGCGGUUUCUUAAGUCUGAUGUGAAAGCCCCCGGCUCAACCGGGGAGGGUCAUUGGAAACUGGGGAACUUGAGUGCAGAAGAGGAGAGUGGAAUUCCACGUGUAGCGGUGAAAUGCGUAGAGAUGUGGAGGAACACCAGUGGCGAAGGCGACUCUCUGGUCUGUAACUGACGCUGAGGCGCGAAAGCGUGGGGAGCGAACAGGAUUAGAU